CUGAACCUGAUUUGUUUAGUGACUCAGUUUCUGGGAUGGAAAAGAAAGCAUUUAAGGUCCGUUUUAUAAAUCUGGAAGGGCUAAGUCACUGUAAAGCCAAUGAAUAUUUUGACCUGUAAUCAUUGUUCUAUCAGAGCAAUGUUUUGCCUGCAUCAAGAUCACACAAAUCUCAAUGAACUAAUGAUCAUAAUCUGUUUGCACUGAAUUGAAGAGGUAACUGCUGGUUAGGAUAGAGGAAGAUCACCUUUCAUCUUUGAAUAAUGCCAUUGAGUCUUUUGCAUCUUCUUAAAUUGGACCUCUGAUUAAUAUCCCAAAUAAAGAAGGCAGCUUUCAUUCAACAGCAUGCAAUUUGUAGUCAAAUCUUUGGAUGAGUACUGGUAACUGAAAUCUUCUUAUCUGAGGUUCCAUUAACUACACACACCUGCUUCCCAUCAGAAAAUGCAGGAUAAAGACCCUGUGAUCACAACAAGGAGCUGCCAGUUCGUUGGUCAACUCUGGUGUCACUGCACCAUCAAAUUAAAAGCUGACAUUUUCUGUAACAACAACCGUGGGAAGCCUUCCUUUUGCAGCAACACACACAAAAUGCUGGAGGAACUCAGCAGGUCAGGCAGCAUCUAUGGAAGUGAAUGAACAGUUGAUGCUUCAGGCUGAGACACACCAUCAAAACUGAAAAGGAAGAGGAAGGGCACAUGAAUUAAGUUCCUUUCUCAUCCUAUUUAACCUGUUUGGAGAUUUUGUGAUGGCUCACCACAGCAUUUUUUCCAAUAUUUAUCUUUGAUUCUCCAUUGGGUACAACUGUACUUCCAUUUUUUUUAAUUCAAGUUAGAAAAUCAUAUGAAAAAAUUCUUCCCUCAAUCCAGCUUGAUUACACCUAUUGUUCUGUCUGAAUCUAACCUCUUCAAACCAUAACCAUAUGUUGAAAAAGCUCUCAUUCAAAAAUGUCAGCUAAAUUUAUCAUGUAGUUCAAAGUUUAUUUAAAGUUCUUUGAUUGUGAAGCAUCAUCCAAGACUUAAUGCCGCCUUUGUAGUCAGGGUUUCUUCACUCUGGAUCAUAUUUGCAUCUGUGGUUCUAAUACAUGAAGCUGUCCGGGUAUUAGCAGUGACAUACAUUUUGCAAUGUACCUUGAAACGCAUUUUCACUGCCUACUACUAUGCUAACUGAUGUCACACCCUCCCUAUAAAAUCUACUGCAGAACCUGGCUUUAGCAUGGCACGUGAGACUUUAUCUAGAACAGUUGAAAAGGGACUAGGCUACAAAUUCCAGUGCUGACAACUGGCUUUAGGAGUAUCCAUUUUAAAUUUAACAAAAUACUCAUUUUUCACAGUAGUUCUCCAUCUAGCAUCUAAUCACUCAUCCUCUUACCCCCAAUCCAAGGUUGUUCAUAACACCAACUGCAAUAGUUGAUACAGUUGUUGUACAGCUGAAUAGAGAUUGCAAAGAAAGAUUAACUAAACAUUUGUUUCAGGAACUUGAUGCAUUUUUCAACUUUCUAGUGUCAGGGUAGUGAGAUUUCAAGCAAUUGCUGAACACAAGAGAUUCUGCAGAUGCUGGAAAUCUUGAGCAACACACAUUUACUCAUAUAAAAUAGAAUGGA